CAUGCAGUCGAGCGGCAGCACGGGAAGCUUGCUUCCUGGUGGCGAGCGGCGGACGGGUGAGUAAUGCAUAGGAAUCUGCCCGGUAGUGGGGGAUAACCUGGGGAAACCCAGGCUAAUACCGCAUACGUCCUACGGGAGAAAGCAGGGGCUCUUCGGACCUUGCGCUAUCGGAUGAGCCUAUGUCGGAUUAGCUGGUUGGUGAGGUAAUGGCUCACCAAGGCGACGAUCCGUAGCUGGUCUGAGAGGAUGAUCAGCCACAUCGGGACUGAGACACGGCCCGAACUCCUACGGGAGGCAGCAGUGGGGAAUAUUGGACAAUGGGCGCAAGCCUGAUCCAGCCAUGCCGCGUGUGUGAAGAAGGCCUUAGGGUUGUAAAGCACUUUCAGUGGGGAAGAAAGCCUGCCGGCUAAUACCCGGGAGGAAGGACAUCACCCACAGAAGAAGCACCGGCUAACUCCGUGCCAGCAGCCGCGGUAAUACGGAGGGUGCGAGCGUUAAUCGGAAUUACUGGGCGUAAAGCGCGCGUAGGUGGCUUGAUAAGCCGGUUGUGAAAGCCCCGGGCUCAACCUGGGAACGGCAUCCGGAACUGUCAGGCUAGAGUGCAGGAGAGGAAGGUAGAAUUCCCGGUGUAGCGGUGAAAUGCGUAGAGAUCGGGAGGAAUACCAGUGGCGAAGGCGGCCUUCUGGACUGACACUGACACUGAGGUGCGAAAGCGUGGGUAGCAAACAGGAUUAGAUACCCUGGUAGUCCACGCCGUAAACGAUGUCGACUAGCCGUUGGGUCCUUCGCGGACUUUGUGGCGCAGUUAACGCGAUAAGUCGACCGCCUGGGGAGUACGGCCGCAAGGUUAAAACUCAAAUGAAUUGACGGGGGCCCGCACAAGCGGUGGAGCAUGUGGUUUAAUUCGAUGCAACGCGAAGAACCUUACCUACCCUUGACAUCCUCGGAAUCUGCCGGAGACGGCGGAGUGCCUUCGGGAACCGAGUGACAGGUGCUGCAUGGCUGUCGUCAGCUCGUGUUGUGAAAUGUUGGGUUAAGUCCCGUAACGAGCGCAACCCUUGUCCUUAUUUGCCAGCGGGUAAUGCCGGGAACUCUAAGGAGACUGCCGGUGACAAACCGGAGGAAGGUGGGGACGACGUCAAGUCAUCAUGGCCCUUACGGGUAGGGCUACACACGUGCUACAAUGGUCGGUACAAAGGGUUGCGAGCUCGCGAGGGCAAGCUAAUCCCAGAAAGCUGAUCUCAGUCCGGAUCGGAGUCUGCAACUCGACUCCGUGAAGUCGGAAUCGCUAGUAAUCGUGAAUCAGAAUGUCACGGUGAAUACGUUCCCGGGCCUUGUACACACCGCCCGUCACACCAUGGGAGUGGACUGCACCAGAAGUGGUUAGCCUAACCUUCGGGAGGG
rnacentral:rRNA from 1 species